rnacentral:rRNA from 1 species
UACGUAGGGCGCAAGCGUUAUCCGGAAUUAUUGGGCGUAAAGAGCUCGUAGGCGGCUUGUCGCGUCGUCCGUGAAAACCCACAGCUCAACUGUGGGCUUGCGGUCGAUACGGGCAGGCUAGAGUUCGGUAGGGGAGACUGGAAUUCCUGGUGUAGCGGUGAAAUGCGCAGAUAUCAGGAGGAACACCGGUGGCGAAGGCGGGUCUCUGGGCCGAUACUGAUGCUGAGGAGCGAAAGCGUGGGGAGCGAACAGG